rnacentral:hammerhead_ribozyme from 1 species
AUCCAGAUGGCGAGUCACAAAUAGGACGAAAUGCGCAUCCUGGAU